rnacentral:rRNA from 1 species
ACGUAGGGGGCAAGCGUUAUCCGGAUUUACUGGGUGUAAAGGGAGCGUAGACGGCAGUGCAAGUCUGAAGUGAAAGCCCGGGGCUCAACCCCGGGACUGCUUUGGAAACUGUGCAGCUAGAGUGUCGGAGAGGCAAGCGGAAUUCCUAGUGUAGCGGUGAAAUGCGUAGAUAUUAGGAGGAACACCAGUGGCGAAGGCGGCUUGCUGGACGAUGACUGACGUUGAGGCUCGAAAGCGUGGGGAGCAAACAG